rnacentral:misc_RNA from 1 species
AUCUAUUCGUCASCCAACCKCCGCUCCCCGARAGGGUGCUUUGGUCCCGGGUACGGAAGUUGGCCUCCCGUGCUCUCGAAGCGCGGCUGGCCUAAAACUGAGCAUCGGACUGAUGAUCUCCGAGGCACGCGGUGGUUGUUCAUUCUUUACCYCGUGACGUUGCCAAGGAGCGUCUCCCGUGCGAAGCUCCACGRCCCUAGAUUAUCUAUCGAU